rnacentral:rRNA from 1 species
AUUGAACGCUGGCGGCAUGCCUUACACAUGCAAGUCGAACGGUAACAGGUUAAGCUGACGAGUGGCGAACGGGUGAGUAAUACAUCGGAACGUGCCCAGUAGUGGGGGAUAGCUCGGCGAAAGCCGGAUUAAUACCGCAUACGACCUAAGGGUGAAAGGGGGGGAUCGCAAGACCUCUCGCUAUUGGAGCUGCCGAUGUCGGAUUAGCUAGUUGGUGGGGUAAAAGCUCACCAAGGCGACGAUCUGUAGCUGGUCUGAGAGUACGACCAGCCACACUGGGACUGAGACACGGCCCAGACUCCUACGGGAGGCAGCAGUGGGGAAUUUUGGACAAUGGGCGCAAGCCUGAUCCAGCCAUGCCGCGUGCGGGAAGAAGGCCUUCGAGUUGUAAAGCGCUUUUGUCAGGGAAGAAAUCCUUUGGGUUAAUACCUCGGGGGGAUGACGGUACCUGAAGAAUAAGCACCGGCUAACUACGUG